rnacentral:misc_RNA from 1 species
AAGACCCGGACCGCAUAUUUUUAAAGACGCCACCAUACCCAUCUCAUUUGUGGGUCCCCAAGUUGCUGAAUAUCUAAUCUCCAAUCAUGCCCAAAUACCUGAUGUCUCCUCCCAUUUUAAUAGGGCUAUAUCUGGGUGUUCGGGGUCCCAGAUCACUGCCCUGCUAGAAUCCGCUGUAUUAUCUGGUGAUGCCAAUUUGGUAGCGCAAUUGAUAGAUGCCGGUGGAGAUGUGAAUUGUAAGGACUCAGAGGGACGGUCCAUGAUCACUCAGGCAGUUAAAGUAGGAAAUACAGACGUUGUUAAGGUAUUGAUCGCCUCUGGUUGUUUGAUUGAUGAGUUAAUAGAUAAGGUUUUGUACGAGGCAGCAGCGAUAAACAGAGUGGAUCUGAUUGAGGUUCUUUGUCGUAAUUUCAAAGAUAUUGAUGUGAAUUCGAUUGAUUUACACGGUAGAACUCCAAUUCAUGUCGCUGCAAGUUGUGGGCAUGUUGAAGUGAUUCGGUUUUGUGCUUCAAUUGGAGGAAGAGGCGACGUUGUGGACUGUAAUG